rnacentral:lncRNA from 1 species
CCAUUGAAAUGAAGGUAGCAACAACAAGAGUGCCACUAGUGAUGGUGGAUGACCAUAACGACGCACCAGAACCAAACCCUAAGCUCUGAAAAAUCACAGGCGCAUAAAACAACACAGAAUUCAUCCCUGUAAGCUGUUGAAACGCAGGUAUACCCAAAGCUCCGAUGAUCAAUUGUGGUCGAUUUUUUCUCUUUAGAAGGUUCCUGAAAGGAUGUUUAAUGGCUUUUGCAGCUUCACUUGCUUCAACCAGAUCUUGAAAUUCUGCUUCGAUGUUUUUGGUACCUCUAACUCUUUCCAAAACCCUUCUCCCCUCUUCUAAUUUCCCUUGUUCGACUAAACUGUUCGGCGUUUCCGGCAAGAAAAGCCCUCCGACGAACAUC